ensembl:lncRNA
CUAGCCCCUGACCAGAGUCGAGAGAAGGCUUAUGUUCCAGAGUUUAGCCCAGAGAGGGCUGCUGUUCCCACGUCUAGCCCAGAGAGGGCUGCUGUUCCCACGUCUAGCCCAGAGAGGGCUGCUGUUCCCACGUCAAGCCCAGAGAGGGCCUUAGCUCCUGAGUUUAGCUCAGAGAAGGCUCCUGCUCCCGAGUUUAGCUCAGAGAAGGCUCCUGCUCCCAAGUCUAACCCAGAGAGGGCGACUGAUGGCGAGUCAAGCCCCGAGAGGGCUCCUGUCUGCAAUUCUAGCCCAGGGAGGGCUCCUGUUCCCACGUCAAGCUCAGAGAGGGCCAUGUAUACACACACUCCAUAAAGCCCCUAUUUUACAAAUAAUAAUAAUGCAGUCAGGAGAUGGUGUGAUGCAAUUAGUGGUUUCCACAUUUUUCCACCUGUACACUAAAUAAUCUAACCCUCAUACUUGCAUAACAAUAGCAGUCUAUUUAUUUAGUGGUCCAAGUUGAAGUCAGUAUGUAUAUUAAUGACAAUAUGGGACAAAUACACUCAAUAAAGGAUUAUUAGGAACACCUGUUCAAUUUCUCAUUAAUGCAAUUAUCUAAUCAAUCACAUGGCAGUUGCUUCAAUGCAUUUAGGGGUGUGCAUUUAGGGGUGUGGUCCUGGUCAAGACAAUCUCCUGAACUCCAAACUGAAUGUCAGAAUGGGAAAGAAAGGUUUAAGCAAUUUUGAGUGUGGCAUGGUUGUUGGUGCCAGACGGGCCGUUCUGAGUAUUUCACAAUCUGCUCAGUUACUGGGAUUUUCAUGCACAACCAUUUCUAGGGUUUACAAAGAAUGGUGUGAAAAGGAAAAACAUCCAGUAUGCGGCAGUCCUGUGGGCGAAAAUGCCUUGUUGAUGCUAGAGGUCAGAGGAGAAUGGGCUGACUGAUUCAAGCUGAUAGAAGAGCAACUUUGACUGAAAUAACCACUUGUUACAACCGAGAUAUGCAGCAAAGCAUUUGUGAAGCCACAACACGCACAACCUUGAGGCGGAUGGGCUACAACAGCAGAAGACCC